UACGUAGGGGGCAAGCGUUGUCCGGAUUUAUUGGGCGUAAAGAGCGUGUAGGCGGUUUGGUAGGUCCGUUGUGAAAACUCGAGGCUCAACCUCGAGACGCCGAUGGAAACCAUCAGACUAGAGUCCGGAAGAGGAGAGUGGAAUUCCUGGUGUAGCGGUGAAAUGCGCAGAUAUCAGGAGGAACACCGGUGGCGAAGGCGGGUCUCUGGGAAACAACUGACGCUGAGGAACGAAAGCGUGGGUAGCAAACAGG
rnacentral:rRNA from 1 species